UCGGACGUGGUGCACGGUGCACGCCCGCAGUUGUUACAGUGGUAACUUCAAAGUAACGGGGGAAGCCUGGGUUCGACUCCCAGCGUCCGAA